GGCUAGUGGAGAGGUUGAGCGAGGGAAAGGGAGAGGGCUAGUGGAGAGGUUGAGCGAGGGAAAGGGAGAGGGCUAGUGGAGAGGUUGAGCGAGGGAAAGGGAGAGGGCUAGUGGAGAGGUUGAGCGAGGGGAAAGGGGAGAGGGCUAGUGGAGAGGUUGAGCGAGGGAAAGGGAGAGGGCUAUUGGAGAGGUUGAGCGAAGGAGAGAGAGGGCUAGUGGAGAGGUUGAGCGUGGGAGAGAGAGGGCUAGUGGAGAGGUUGAGCGUGGGAGAGAGGGGGCUAUUGAGAGGUUGAGCGUGGGAGAGAGGGGGCUAGUGGAGAGGUUGAGAGUGGGAGAGAGGGGGCUAGUGGAGAGGUUGAGCGUGGGAGAGAGGGCUAGUGGAGAGGUUGAACGACGGAGAGAGGGCUAGUGGAGAGGUUGAGCGAGGGAGAGAGGGCUAGUGGAGAGGUUGAGAGAGGGCAAGUGGAGAGGUUGAGCGAGGGCUAGUGGAGAGGUUGAGCGAGGGAAAGGGAGAGGGCUAGUGGAGAGGUUGAGCGAGGGAAAGGGAGAGGGCUAGUGGAGAGGUUGAGCGAGGGAAAGGGAGAGGGCUAGUGGAGAGGUUGAGCGUGGGAGAGAGAGGGCUAGUGGAGAGGUUGAGCGUGGGAGAGAGGGGGCUAGUGGAGAGGUUGAGCGAGGGAGAGGGAGAGGGCUAGUGGAGAGGUUGAGUGAGGGAGAGAGAG
ensembl:lncRNA